GACAACUUGGCCGAGUGGUUAAGGCGGUAGACUUGAAAUCUACUGGGAUCUUCCCGCGCAGGUUCAAACCCUGCAGUUGUCG
rfam:Acanthamoeba castellanii str. Neff unplaced genomic scaffold scf7180000084645, whole genome shotgun sequence.